UACAGAGGGGGCAAGCGUUGUCCGGAGUUACUGGGCGUAAAGGGUCCGCAGGUGGCCAGGCAAGUGUCGUGUGAAAGCCCCGUGCUUAACACGGGGAGGCCACGGCAGACUGGUUGGCUCGAGUGAUGCAGAGGGUGGUGGAAUUGCCGGUGUAGUGGUGAAAUGCGUAGAGAUCGGCAGGAACACCCAGGGCGAAAGCAGCCACCUGGGCAUCAACUGACACUGAGGGACGAAAGCGUGGGGAGCGAACCGG
rnacentral:rRNA from 1 species